AGAGUUUGAUCCUGGCUCAGGACGAACGCUGGCGGCGCGCCUAACACAUGCAAGUCGAACGGAGCUUAAAGAGCUUGCUUUUUAAGCUUAGUGGCGAACGGGUGAGUAACGCGUGAGUAACCUGCCCUGGAGUGGGGGACAACAGUUGGAAACGACUGCUAAUACCGCAUAAGCCCACGGCCCGGCAUCGGGCUGCGGGAAAAGGAUUUAUUCGCUUCAGGAUGGACUCGCGUCCAAUUAGCUAGUUGGUGAGGUAACGGCCCACCAAGGCGACGAUUGGUAGCCGGACUGAGAGGUUGAACGGCCACAUUGGGACUGAGACACGGCCCAGACUCCUACGGGAGGCAGCAGUGGGGGAUAUUGCACAAUGGGGGAAACCCUGAUGCAGCGACGCCGCGUGGAGGAAGAAGGUUUUCGGAUUGUAAACUCCUGUCGUUAGGGACGAUAAUGACGGUACCUAACAAGAAAGCCCCGGCUAACUACGUGCCAGCAGCCGCGGUAAUACGUAGGUCACAAGCGUUGUCCGGAAUUACUGGGUGUAAAGGGAGCGCAGGCGGGAAGACAAGUUGGAAGUGAAAUCCAUGGGCUCAACCCAUGAACUGCUUUCAAAACUGUUUUUCUUGAGUAGUGCAGAGGUAGGCGGAAUUCCCGGUGUAGCGGUGGAAUGCGUAGAUAUCGGGAGGAACACCAGUGGCGAAGGCGGCCUACUGGGCACCAACUGACGCUGAGGCUCGAAAGUGUGGGUAGCAAACAGGAUUAGAUACCCUGGUAGUCCACACUGUAAACGAUGAUUACUAGGUGUUGGAGGAUUGACCCCUUCAGUGCCGCAGUUAACACAAUAAGUAAUCCACCUGGGGAGUACGACCGCAAGGUUGAAACUCAAAGGAAUUGACGGGGGCCCGCACAAGCAGCGGAGCAUGUGGUUUAAUUCGACGCAACGCGAAGAACCUUACCAGGUCUUGACAUCCACUUAAACUUACAGAGAUGUAAGGUGUGCUUGCACAAAGUGAGACAGGUGGUGCAUGGUUGUCGUCAGCUCGUGUCGUGAGAUGUUGGGUUAAGUCCCGCAACGAGCGCAACCCUUAUCUUCAGUUACUAACGCGUAGAGGUGAGGACUCUGAAGAGACUGCCGGGGACAACUCGGAGGAAGGUGGGGACGACGUCAAAUCAUCAUGCCCCUUAUGACCUGGGCUACACACGUGCUACAAUGGCCACGACAGAGAGAAGCGAAAUCGCAAGGUAGAGCGGAACUCAAAAAAGUGGUCCCAGUUCGGAUUGUGGGCUGCAACCCGCCCACAUGAAGUCGGAGUUGCUAGUAAUCGCGGAUCAGCAUGCCGCGGUGAAUACGUUCCCGGGCCUUGUACUCACCGCCCGUCA
rnacentral:rRNA from 1 species